rnacentral:lncRNA from 1 species
UAGAUGACUUACGAAUGCAUUUCUGUCUCAGGCUUCUGUGCUUUCUGUCUUUGUACUGAAGAAACGUUGAUUUUUGUGAAACUCUUACCCCUUCUGCAGAUGAAUUGGAUGAGGCGUUCACAGAACUGAGGUUCCUGAUAAAGGCCUACCUGGGUUUGGAGCCACCUGCAGUUUCUGAUAGCAGUCAAGACUUGAACAGCAAAGCAGGAACAGGUUCAAGAAUGCGUCUCUUACAGGAGCAAUCAUUGUCACCCAGCAGACUAAUUGCUGGCACUGCUCAGUCUUCCUCUGUCAAUGAGUUCUUGGACUCUUCUGCCAAAAACUGUUCAGGAGGCACCUUGGACAAGUUUGCUGCACAACUGACCUCUGUGGAAGAAGCUUCUCUCCAAAGGCGCCAUGCUGCAGCACGUCAGGCUCUGUCAGGGAAGGCACCUAGUGCAUAUGUCCAGCUGUUUCAAAGGGACCUAGCAGUCACUCCUGCACCAGGCAGCUCCCGUCAACAACUACUGGAGCCAGCAACACAUCCUUCUCUGGUCUCAGAUGGAAGGAGUGUCACCCAAGAGCACAGCUUCCCCUUGAAUAACCCAGAGAGCCGAAAGAGUAAAAUAAAAUCCAUCAAGGGCUGCAGAGGAUCUGGUCCUGCCAGAAGGCUAUUCCUAAACUCCGCCGGUGCACCUGCUGCUGAAGGCCUGCCUGUGCUCACCCCUGCUCCCCACACUCGUCUCACUGAAGAUGUCCAAGCUGAGCACCAGGAUGCACGGGGAGCUGAAAACGGAGCGGACAGACUGCAAGAGAAUGAACUCCACCGUGACAGUCUUCCGAGGAAGCACAGCAAACCCAAGGCUGGUUCUUCUCAUGUGCUUCAGCUCAGCAACUGGCCCGGCUCCCACUCCAGACCUGUCCUACCUCCAAUCCCACCCCGGAGGAAGAGCACCAACCCUUGA